rnacentral:rRNA from 1 species
UUUCGGAGAGUUUGAUCCUGGCUCAGAGUGAACGCUGGCGGCGUGGAUUAGGCAUGCAAGUCGCGCGAUAUUUUAGAUGGAGAGUUUGAAGCCGUAAGGUAGAUGACAAUUUGUCUAAGGUAUAGCGGCAAACGGGUGAGUAAUACGCGAGUAAUCUACCUUCAAGUCGAGGAUAGCCUUGCGAAAGCGAGGGUAAUACUUGAUGUGGUUUUGAUAGUUUAGUCUGUCAGAGAAAAAGCUCCUUGAGCAAUCAGGGAGCGCUUGAGGAUGAGCUCGCGCCCUAUCAGCUAGUUGGUGAGGUAAUGGCCCACCAAGGCUAUUGACGGGUAGCUGGUCUGAGAGGAUGGUCAGCCACACGGGGACUGAGACACUGCCCCGACUCCUACGGGAGGCUGCAGUCGAGGAUAUUUAGCAAUGGGCGAAAGCCUGACUAUGCGACGCCGCGUGAGGGAUGAAGGUUUUCGGAUCGUAAACCUCUUUCGAUGGGGAAGAAAAUACUGCUUUAAUCGGCAGGACUGACGGUACCCAGAGAAGAAGCCACGGCUAACUCCGUGCCAGCAGCCGCGGUAAUACGGAGGUGGCAAGCGUUACUCGGAUUCAUUGGGUGUAAAGGGCAGGUAGGUGGUUCUGUAAGUCGGGAGUGAAAUCCCUCGGCUCAACCGGGGAACUGCUUUCGAAACUGCAGGACUAGAGACUAGAAGGGGAGAGCGGAAUUCCCGGUGUAAGGGUGAAAUCUGUAGAUAUCGGGAGGAACACCAGAAGCGAAGGCGGCUCUCUGGGCUAGUUCUGACACUGAGCUGCGAAAGCUAGGGGAGCAAACAGGAUUAGAUACCCUGGUAGUCCUAGCCGUAAACGUUGAGCACUAGGUGUCGGUUCGAAUAGGGCCGGUGCCGUAAGAUAACUCGUUAAGUGCUCCACCUGAGGACUACGGCCGCAAGGUUAAAACUCAAAGGAAUUGACGGGG